AUUGAACGCUGGCGGCAGGCCUAAUACAUGCAAGUCGAGCGGAGCGGCGGACGGGUGAGUAAUGCCUAGGAAUCUGCCCGGUAGUGGGGGAUAACGUCCGGAAACGGGAGCUAAUACCGCAUACUAUCAGAUGAGCCUAGGGCGUAUUAGCUAGUUGGUGGGGUAAAGGCCUACCAAGGCGACGAUCCGUAACUGGUCGGAGAGGGUGAUCAGUCACACUGGAACUGAGACACGGUCCAGACUCCUACGGGAGGCAGCAGUGGGGAAUCUUGGGCAAUGGGCGAAAGCCUGACCCAGCCAUGCCGCGUGUGUGAAGAAGGUCUUCGGAUUGUAAAGCUCUGUAAGUUGGGAAGCGUUACCUACCGAGUAAGCCCCGGCUAACUUCGUGCCAGCAGCCGCGGUAAUAC
rnacentral:rRNA from 1 species